rnacentral:misc_RNA from 1 species
GCGCAGUAGCGUUACGCCCGGUCAGCCUAUGGUCGCAGUGGGGUGAGCGCCGGCCGCGGGGCCCGGAAGGUGGGGAAAUCCCGUCCCGGUGCCAGCGCCGGCCGUGUCUGAUUCCGGGUCCAGGGACGCUGAGCGUCAGUCGUCAGACUCAACAGAGCAGCAGCCGACUUCGUGACCGCGACGUUUCUUGGUCUUCUGUGCAGUGUGUCGCCUUAGCAAGCCAUCAGGGGUCAGAUCGAUCAGCGUGUCAGCAGGUCAGCGCCUCAGAUCAUCGAAGAUGUCAACCGACACUGGGAAAAAUCACCGAAGGCCUCUCCCAUUGCUCUGCAGAAAUUACAACAAAAAAUGUGGAUGUUCCCGAGAAAGUUGUGAAGAUUUGCACUUGUGCUAUUACUUUCUCAUCAGGGAAUGCUUAAACAAGGAGUGCUCCCGGUCGCACACUUUGGAAACACCCAGAAAUAUCAUGACCCUUGAGAACUUGGGUUUUAAGGGCAAGGAUGAUCUCGAUCUGGUGUUAACCAGCAUGCAGCGCAAAAUGCGCGGGGUGCGUAUCAACUUGUGCUACACAUACAACGCGAACGAGUGUGCGUCCAGCGGAUGCCGCCGGUUACACCUGUGCUACCCAUAUGUGCUCGGUAGGUGCACGGAGGACGAGUGUGAGCUGAGCCACAGCGUCACCGAUGGAGAGCACAACCUCAAGGUGCUCCGAGAGGCCGACAUGGCCAACGAGCCCGCCUCCUUGGUGGUGCAGACACUGGCCGAGGUUCUGACCGAGUGGCCUCUUCGGCUUACUAUUUGUCGCGACUUUUGGCGCAAUCCAGGUGGAUGUGAAGGGCGCUGCCGUCGACUGCAUGCGUGUCCUUCGUACAUUAAAGGGAAUUGCUGGUACGGGGAACGUUGCUACAAAAGGCACAACUUGUGCGAUCCGCACAACCAGCGUGUGCUGGCGUUUUUUGGCUGCACGGAGGCCGAGGCGCUGGCCCAGUUUGCCGCCCGGAACAUGGCUGCCGCUGAGUAUGCGGGAGGCGGCAGUACUGCUGAAGCAGAACACUGUGGAGAGCUGGGAGCGGCAGUGGACGCCAGAGUCCGGAAGGAGCAGUCCGAUGGGCUCUCAGAUGAGCAGAAACUGAUCGAAUAUCUGCAGCAGUUUCGGCUUCGGAAGGUCCAGCGUGAACAGGAGCGCCAAAAACGCCGAGAGCGGCUUCAGCACAUAGAGAGGCAGAUCGAGCGCCAGGGAGAGGGGGACACCGACCCAGGGCACUAUUAUACGAGUGCUAGCUCUCUGCAACAGGAGCCCAGAACAUGCAAGGAGAAGCUCAAACUUCAAGUCAAGCAGUUGCUCGAAGAGCAAGAACAACAUGUCCGAGAUCUGGCUCGAUUCAAGAAGCUCUUCAGCACACAGCUGGAGUGCAUGAAGUGUGUCGUCUGCAAAGGCGUGUUCAAACGUCCCGUCACUCUGAGCUGCUCUCACACGUUUUGUGAGGCGUGUGUCAGUGUGGAGAGUCGGCGACGACAGUCAGAGGCCUGUCCGCUCUGCUUCCAGCCGGUGUAUGCCACGACGCGCUGCUCAGUUCUCGACAAGAUACUCGUCUCUCUGGCGGAUAUACCGCUGUAGAGAAGACAGGGGACGUUCAGCGACUGCUGGUGAGCUCACGUCUUCUCGCCAUUGCCUUUGAAAACGGAGCGGGGUGCCUUACAUGCUGGAGGAGGAAGUCCAAGGCAGUGGCCAGGGUGAACUUCGUAAAUCUGGAGGUUGGACCAAGGAGUUGGACUAUAUACGUCCAGACCAUCAUUGCGUUUCCAUUUUACUGUUUCGCUCGUUGCCAAAGGCGCUGAGGUCUUUCGCUGCAGCUGAGAAGAGAAAUCUGGCAAGUAACUAUAGACAACACAGAGAUCAUAGAACAUGGUAUUUGUAAUUGUACUAAGAUUAUACUCGUAUCUGGCCUGUUGUGUACUAUUAUGACGAAGUAAAAGUUUUUGUUGUUUCAUUUCUUCGAUUAUGUCUACUGAUCAGUUCUCAGUUACAUUCAGCCUGCAUGAUGAACACAAGCUACGGAAACGGAGUCAUUUGCUAUGCGUUUUAUUGCUGUUGCCUUGCUUAUGCGCAGUUCGUUACAUUAUGUUAGCAUUAGGUAUUCGUUACCUUUGCAUUGGUGCACCUCUGUUAUGUGUCGAGCUAAGCUACUUAGUUCGCCAUUGUAACCGAUUAUGUAUACAUUACGCCGUUAAAAUAUAGCGUCCUACCCUACUGCAUGUCAUUAA